GAGAUGAUAGGUUUUCGGCUGUCGUUCGUCGCAGAAGGGGAAACACACCGGAAGAGGCGAGAGGUAGACGGUGCUCUCACCAGGAUGCGGCGGCGGGAACGGAGUCGGAGGCGCGGCGGGCGGUGGGUGAACGGUGCAUGGCGGCGGUCGGGCGGCUGAGGAAGAAUGAAAACGCCGGCUCUGUGGGUGAGGGAAUUCGCGAGGGAGAGAGGGAG
rnacentral:misc_RNA from 1 species